GACGAACGCUGGCGGCGUGCUUAACACAUGCAAGUCGAACGGAAAGGCCCUGCUUUUGUGGGGUGCUCGAGUGGCGAACGGGUGAGUAACACGUGAGUAACCUGCCCUUGACUUUGGUAUAACUUCAGGAAACUGGGGCUAAUACCGGAUAGGAGCUCCUGCUGCAUGGUGGGGGUUGGAAAGUUUCGGCGGUUGGGGAUGGACUCGCGGCUUAUCAGCUUGUUGGUGGGGUAGUGGCUUACCAAGGCUUUGACGGGUAGCCGGCCUGAGAGGGUGACCGGCAACAUUGGGACUGAGAUACGGCCCAGACUCGGACGGGAGGCAGCAGUGGGGAAUAUUGCACUAUGGGCGGAAGCCUGAAGCAGCAACGCCGCGUGCGGGAUGACGGCCUUCGGGUUGUAAACCGCUUUUGCCUGUGACGAAGCGGGAGUGACGGUAAUGGGUAAAGAAGCACCGGCUAACUACGUG
rnacentral:rRNA from 1 species